GACGAACGCUGGCGGCGUGCUUAACACAUGCAAGUCGAACGGAAAGGCCCUGCUUUUGUGGGGUGCUCGAGUGGGGAACGGGUGAGUAACACGUGAGUAACCUGCCCUUGUCUUUGGGAUAACUUCAGGAAACUGAGGCUAAUAUCGUAUAGGAGCUCCUGCAGCAUGGUGGGGGUUGGAAAGUUUCGGCGGUUGGGGAUGGACUCGCGGCUUAUCAGCUUGUUGGUGGGGUAGUGGCUUACCAAGGCUUUGACGGGUAGCCGGCCUGAGAGGGUGACCGGCGACAUUGGGACUGAGAGACGGCCCAGACGGCUACGGGAGGCAGCGGGCGGGAAUAUUGCACAGUGGGCGGGCGCCUGAGGCGACAGCGCCGCGUUCGGGAUGACGGCCUUCGGGGUGUGAACCGCUGUCGCCUGUGACGAAGCGUGAGUGACGGUAAUGAAUAAAGAAGCACCGGCUAACUACGUG
rnacentral:rRNA from 1 species